CUCAACAGAGAGAUGAGGAAGCAGUGUGAGCAACUUGGCAGAGUGUAAAAAAAGGAAAGAGAGGAUUUCAGUGCCUAUGGAAAUACUAACUUUAUUAUGAAACAGAAAAGGAAGGAAAAGCAAUAGCUGCAUUGCACUCACAAACAUUAUUGCAAUGGACUGUGAUCAGAACCAGCCUGGUAAAUCUGCACUACCCAGGAGACAAUGAAGAACUUCAUGUCCAAGAAUUAUUACCUGAAUACGUCUUGGUUAUAAUAAAUGGCAAAGAUUCUUGGUUCUCACUUCAGCAAUUUAUAUACCAGUUAGCAUUACUGCAGCAGAUCUAACAAAUAAAUUGUGCCAUUCACAAACAGAUCACAUCACACUGAGUGCUGGAGCUUCUCUUGCAUGGGCAAAUUCUUGCAUGCCUGCAGAUGAGAUGGAGAGGAGCAUGAAGCUAACAGGAUUACAAGGAUCAGCAGAUACAGCAUUGCCUCUCCAGCCUUCCAAAGGCAUUCUCCAGCUUCAGAGAGUCACAAGGCUAGUAUCAAAGGAACAGGAUUAAAACAACGAUCUCGUUAAGUUCCCAAAUGGCAGGGUAACAUUAUGGCCAGCAACUCUGGCAGUAGGAACUGAGAGAGAAGGAAGAGAAGAAUAGGGAAACUGUUCAUCACAGGUCUGUGGAUAAAUUAUUUCAAAGUUAAGGUAAGGUGCAGUCUCUUUUUUCUGGUGAGGUUAUUGGUUUCACAGGACUUUUCUAUGUAAGUCUUUAUGGUGUCCAGACUGUUCAUCCUUCUCUAUCACCAGAACAUCUAGAGCAGUACUCCAGA
rnacentral:lncRNA from 1 species